AUUAAACGCUGGCGGCAUGCCUUACACAUGCAAGUCGAACGGCAGCACGGGGGCAACCCUGGUGGCGAGUGGCGAACGGGUGAGUAAAGCAUCGGAACGUGCCCUGGAGUGGGGGAUAACGUAGCGAAAGUUACGCUAAUACCGCAUAUUCUGUGAGCAGGAAAGCAGGGGAUCGCAAGACCUUGCGCUCUGGGAGCGGCCGAUGUCGGAUUAGCUAGUUGGUGGGGUAAAGGCCUACCAAGGCGACGAUCCGUAGCGGGUCUGAGAGGAUGAUCCGCCACACUGGGACUGAGACACGGCCCAGACUCCUACGGGAGGCAGCAGUGGGGAAUUUUGGACAAUGGGCGAAAGCCUGAUCCAGCCAUGCCGCGUGAGUGAAGAAGGCCUUCGGUUGUAAGUAGCUUUUGGUAGGGAUGAGGAAGGACGAGUACCUUCAGAAUAAGACCUCGGCUAACUACGUGCCAGCAG
rnacentral:rRNA from 1 species